GUGAUUAGAAUAUUGUGGAAUAUGACUUUGGACUGAUCGUUUUGGAAAAAAUCUGUGACCUUGAGAAUUGAGAUUAUCGAAUUGUAUUGUGUUUAGUGAAGAUAUUGAAUUCUGUGUGAUGAAUUGAGAAACUGAAUAUAAUAAGUAAGUUGGAGAUAAGUAAUUGAAUAUAUAUAAACCACAAAGAGAGUAAAUGGGAAAUAAACCAAUAAGAUCAUGGAAGUAUUGUUGAAUUAAUAUUCAUAGAAUGGAUUAUGUAUUGAAUUACGAUGGAAGUAGUAAGCCUUGGUAUUUUGUAGUUUGAUAAUUGAUUUUAGAUAGUUACAGUCCUGUCAUUUGUGACAUUAACAGACCCAAUUCAUAUAACUAGUCUUUCCUUAUGUUUGAACCCACCUCUAUUAGUUCAAUUGCUUUGGUAUAUUGAAGCUUGA
rnacentral:lncRNA from 1 species